rnacentral:rRNA from 1 species
ACGAUUGACGGAGCGAAGCGACGUCAAAGCGUAUACAAAGUCGAGUCGGUUUAAGGAUACGUUCGUUGGGUAGGGGAGCGUUCUGUAAGCCUGUGAAGGUGGCCUGUGAGGGUUGCUGGAGGUAUCAGAAGUGCGAAUGCUGACAUAAGUAACGAUAAAGCGGGUGAAAAGCCCGCUCGCCGGAAGACCAAGGGUUCCUGUCCAACGUUAAUCGGGGCAGGGUGAGUCGACCCCUAAGGCGAGGCCGAAAGGCGUAGUCGAUGGGAAAC